UAAAAUAUUAUUUAUUAGGUAGUAAUGAAAUUUCUGAAACCUAAAGAAUUUGGCGGUAUUUUAAAUAAUUGGAGGAACCUGUUAAUUAAUUGAUAAUCCACAACAAAUCUUUCCCUAUUUUUGUUUGUAUAUCGUCGUUUUUAGAUAAUAUUUAAAAAUAUAGUCAUGAUUAAUAAUAUUUAAUAAAUCAGAUCAAGGUGCAACAUAAUAGGGUUUUAAUGGGUUACAAUAUUUUUAAAAUAAUUACGGAUAUAAAUAGAAAAUCUAUUUGAAGGAGGAUUCAAAAGUAAUUUAAAAUUAAUUUGUUUUUUUGAAUUAUAAUUUAAAAUAUGU
rnacentral:rRNA from 1 species